UGGGGAAUUUUGGACAAUGGGCGAAAGCCUGAUCCAGCAAUGCCGCGUGUGUGAAGAAGGCCUUCGGGUUGUAAAGCACUUUUGUCCGGAAAGAAAUCCUUGGCUCUAAUACAGUCGGGGGAUGACGGUACCGGAAGAAUAAGCACCGGCUAACUACGUGCCAGCAGCCGCGGUAAUACGUAGGGUGCAAGCGUUAAUCGGAAUUACUGGGCGUAAAGCGUGCGCAGGCGGUUUGCUAAGACCGAUGUGAAAUCCCCGGGCUCAACCUGGGAACUGCAUUGGUGACUGGCAGGCUAGAGUAUGGCAGAGGGGGGUAGAAUUCCACGUGUAGCAGUGAAAUGCGUAGAGAUGUGGAGGAAUACCGAUGGCGAAGGCAGCCCCCUGGGCCAAUACUGACGCUCAUGCACGAAAGCGUGGGGAGCAAAACAGGAUUAGAUACCCUGGUAGUCCACGCCCUAAACGAUGUCAACUAGUUGUUGGGGAUUCAUUUCCUUAGUAACGUAGCUAACGCGUGAAGUUGACCGCCU
rnacentral:rRNA from 1 species